rnacentral:lncRNA from 1 species
AUAGAAACGAAGACAUAUAAUUAUCCCCAAAUCAAUAUUUCCGCCGGCACUUGGAACAUCUCCCCCGUAUUCAUUUCAGAAAGGGUAUGGAAGUUUCUCCAUUGCUAUCCAUGAAGGCAGAUACGAAUAUAAAACCAUAGAAGAAAUUUGAACUGAAGAGAAACUCAUGUUGAUUAAUAUCCGAUGUAGAACUUAGAGAAUGAAGAAACGAAACAUUGGGGGUUGAAAACGGGAAAAAUUUCGGUAAGAAAUUCUCUAAAUCCUUGUUAAUCUCAAUUUUUUUAACCGGACAUAUAUUAGUUGGAAGAUAAUUUUACCUGAUUAUUUUUGGCAAUGUUGUCUUUGAAGAUGUUAGUGAAAACCGAAGUGGUAGUAAGGAAUAACUUGAAAUACUUUAAGACUGGACACACAAUCAGAUACCUUUCAAUCUGCUUGAAAUUUUGAAUUUCAUACUGUGUGAGUAUUUGUUUGAAUCAGGUUCCUUCCAAAUUAGAUUGAUGUGGUAAUUGUACAGAUAUAAGAUUACGAUUUCACUUAAAAAUUUCAGAUUUUGGGUGUAUAAGAAUGCAAUGUAUGGAGGAAAAAUCUUGAAAUGGAUUAAUAACAAUUUGUCCUAUUAUGCUUUUUUAAAAUACAAAGUGAUAUUGAUGGAAAUGCCCCUGCACUGUUUGCAGGAACCAUUUCUGUUAUCUUAUUAUACCACAGGUUGAAACAGACACAUGCAUUUGAAUCACCACAUUGACUAUUUUGAAAAACAUUACACCAAACCUGAUAAUAUUAAUAGUUGACAUGAAAUAUGGAAAAAAUAUUGUGUUUUAGUAGAAUGUGAUUUCAAAUACAAUGCCCAUAUACAUAAUGGACAAUUAUGCCCCUGGCCAUAAACAAAUGUCGUUCCUAGUUUGAUUUCAGUUACAUCUGCCUCUGCCCUUAUUUGGUUAGAUGCAAGAGAAAGCAAUAUAUUUUACAGACUAAAAUCUGUUUACAACCAAAUAGAUUAGUUGAUAGUUCCAAGAAAUGAUGAUACUUGAGGAUGAGCAACACAAACAUAGAAAGAUAUUAGUUUAGUCUAAUUCAUUAAGCUAUGAGGAUAAAUCCACUUCUUCAGAAAUAGAGAAAAAGAAAUUUAAGAUAAAAGGACGAAAAUGACCUUUACCCAGAUUCUCUGUAUUGUACAUUUUCUUUUGGUUGUAAUACACAAAUUAUAAAAAAUAAAAUAAAAAAAUGAUGCUCCAAAUGGAAUGAACAACAUGACAUAAAUGAUUAUUUAUCAACUUUUAUACAAAUUACAAAUGCAACUGGAUAUUUAAUGCAUUUGUAACCAAAACAUUAGACAAAUCAAAAAAUGGCAGGAAGAGAAAUCACUAUAACAUUUAACAUCUUCCGUAUAUUAUGAGUCCUCCAUACGACAAUAUAAGUCAAAAUUGUUAUCUUUUAUUAUUUUUUGUUAGUGAUUCUUAAAAAUGUGAAUAAAUAAUAAGGAACUUCAAAAUUUUCAUUGAGCAAAAAAUCUGGUGUGCCUUAGAUUAAUCAUAAUCUGGUCUAAAUAUUCUUUUGGGAUGAUUACUACGGGCAAGAUAUGAGAAUUAGAUUUAUCAUUUACAUAAUUGUAAUCUACAUCAUCUAGAAUUUAUGAUGAUUUAGGCAUUUAGGGUUAUGCAUAUAUGACGAAUUCAAUGUGAAGGCAAAAUUGUCAUACUUUUUUUAAUAUGUUAAAAUUAGGCCAUUUCAACAGAGAUUUACUUAACCAACCUCGUUUAAUGCCUUUUCUUGUAGCUAUUUAACUGAAAAAAAAAUACAAAAUUAUAUAAAUUUGAUGAAAAGUAUAAAUAUGAUACAAAUUACCUUAUGUAGGUUUUUUUGGUGAAUGAAAACGCAGACAGAUGAACAGAAACACACAUAAAAGAGAUCGACCACAACACACGCUCAUACACAAUAAGUGUUAAAGUAAAGUGCUUUAAAUCGGAUGACUUUAAAUGUAAGGUGCUACAAAAUAGAGUUGUUCGUUUUAUUUUCAGAAAAAAAAAAAAAAAAACAAUUGAUUCUGAACAGGAACAUAAAUCCAUAAUCACACAUAACAAGCGAGACACAUAUAGCGUAUACAAAUACAUAUAGGAUAACAGGAGGAGAAGAACUGUAAGAGAAGAACAAUACUUAGUGUAACAGAAGAAGAAGUAUAAAGGAGAACGAUUUACCAGGGUUGCAGAGAAGAAGCGUACAGAGGAACCAAAAUUUGAAAGAUGCAACGGUCAGAAAGCUUUUUAGAUCUUGGAUUUAUAUAAAUGAUAAUAUAUGAAACAUUAUUUCAUUCCUAUUAUAAUGGAGAUAUAAUGGGUAAAAGAUAUAGAAUUUCAAAACGAUUGGUAUAUUAUGGUAACCGAGUUGCUAAUUAGUAGGAGUUGAUAAUUCUAUUGUUUAUGACUUUAAAUUAAAUUGAUUUUAUUGUGAUUGUAUUUU